GCCCCGCUAACUCAGUUGGCAGAGUAACGCCCUUUUAAGGCGUGAGUCGUUGGUUCGAAUCCAACGCGGGGUACCA
rnacentral:tRNA from 1 species